rnacentral:rRNA from 1 species
UACGUAGGGUGCGAGCGUUGUCCGGAAUUACUGGGCGUAAAGAGCUCGUAGGUGGUUUGUCGCGUUUGUUCGUGAAAACUCACAACUCAAUUGUGGGCGUGCGGGCGAUACGGGCAGACUGGAGUACUGCAGGGGAGACUGGAAUUCCUGGUGUAGCGGUGGAAUGCGCAGAUAUCAGGAGGAACACCGGUGGCGAAGGCGGGUCUCUGGGCAGUAACUGACGCUGAGGAGCGAAAGCGUGGGGGAGCGAACAGG